UACGUAGGGGGCGAGCGUUGUCCGGAUUUAUUGGGCGUAAAGAGCUCGUAGGCGGUUCGGUAAGUCGAAUGUGAAAUCUCCACGCUCAACGUGGAGGGGUCAUUCGAAACUGCCGUGACUUGAGUACGGUAGGGGAGUGUGGAAUUCCCGGUGUAGCGGUGAAAUGCGCAGAGAUCGGGAGGAACACCAAUGGCGAAGGCAGCUCGCUGGGACGGUACUGACGCUGAGACGCGAAAGCGUGGGGAGCAAACAGG
rnacentral:rRNA from 1 species